UACGUAGGGUGCAAGCGUUGUCCGGAAUUAUUGGGCGUAAAGAGCUCGUAGGCGGCUCGUUGCGUCGGCUGUGAAAACCCGCAGCUCAACUGUGGGCUUGCAGCCGAUACGGGCAGGCUAGAGUUCGGUAGGGGAGACUGGAAUUCCUGGUGUAGCGGUGAAAUGCGCAGAUAUCAGGAGGAACACCGGUGGCGAAGGCGGGUCUCUGGGCCGAUACUGACGCUGAGGAGCGAAAGCGUGGGGAGCGAACAGG
rnacentral:rRNA from 1 species